GAAACCGAGGGUAAUACCGCAUGAGUCCUCAACGGCAUAAGUCGAUGAGGGGAAAGGCGGGGCUCCUUCGGGACCUGUCGCCUCCGGAUGAGCCCGCGUCCGAUUAGCUAGUUGGUGGGGUAAUGGCCCACCAAGGCAACGAUCGGUAGCCGGCCUGAGAGGGUGAACGGCCACAUUGGGACUGAGACACGGCCCAGACUCCUACGGGAGGCAGCAGUGGGGAAUUUUGGACAAUGGGGGAAACCCUGAUCCAGCGACGCCGCGUGGAGGAUGACGGCCUUCGGGUUGUAAACUCCUGUCAGGUGGGAAGAAAAGCCAGUCGGAUAAUACCCGGCAGGAAUUGACGGUACCACCAAAGGAAGCCCCGGCUAACUCCGUGCCAGCAGCCGCGGUAAUACGGAGGGGGCAAGCGUUAUUCGGAUUUACUGGGCGUAAAGCGCACGUAGGUGGCAUCGUAAGUCAAAGGUGAAAGCCCUCGGCUCAACCGAGGAAUUGCCUUUGAAACUGCUUUGCUUGAGU
rnacentral:rRNA from 1 species